GCCAUCGCGCGGGCGGUGGCCGGGCGCCCGCCGCUGCUGCUGGCCGACGAGCCGACCGGCGCGCUCGACUCGCAGUCCGGCGCCGGGGUGAUGGCGC
rnacentral:tRNA from 1 species